rnacentral:rRNA from 1 species
GACGAACGCUGGCGGCGUGCUUAACACAUGCAAGUCGAGCGGUAAGGCCCUUUCGGGGGUACACGAGCGGCGAACGGGUGAGUAACACGUAGGUAAUCUACCUUCGGAUGGGGAAGUAACAAUCGGAAACGGUUGCUAAUACCGCAUAAUGCAGCGGCACCUAAUGGCGACAGUUGUUAAAGCGGGGGAGUCGAAAGACCUCGCGUCUGAAGAGGAGCCUGCGGCGGAUUAGCUAGNGGUUAAGGUAACGGCUUACCAAGGCGACGAUCCGUAGCCGGCCUGAGAGGGCGGUCGGCCACACUGACACUGACAUACGGGUCAGACUCCUACGGGAGGCAG